ensembl:lncRNA
AAAAACAACAUAAGGGGUAACACUGUUGUUUUUUAUUGGUAGUCAUGAAAAAAAACAUAAGGGGUAACACUGUUGUUUUUGUCAAAUAAAACAUAAGGGGUAACACUGUUGUUUUUUAUUGGUCGUCAUGAAAAAAAACAUAAGGGGUAACACUGUUGUUUUUGUCAAAUAAAAUAUAAGGGGUAACACUGUUGUUUUUUAUUGGUCGUCAUGAAAAAAAACAUAAGGGGUAACACUGUUGUUUUUUAUUGGUCAUCAUGAAAAAAAACAUAAGGGGUAACACUUGUUUUUUAUUGGUCGUCAUGAAAAAAAACAUAAGGGGGUAACACUGUUGUUUUUUAUUGGUCGUCAUGAAAAAAAACAUAAGGGGUAACACUGUUGUUUUUGUCAAAUAAAUUAUAAGGGGUAACACUGUUGUUUUUUAUUGGUCGUCAUGAAAAAAAACAAGGGGUAACACUGUUGUUUUUUAUUGGUAGUCAUGAAAAAAAACACAAGGGGUAACACUGUCGUAUUUUAUUGGUCGUCAUUAAAAAAAACAUAUUUGAAAAAAAAAAAAAAAAGUCCUUGUCAAAUAAAAUAUAAGGGGUAACACUGUUGUUUUUUAUUGGUCGUCAUGAAAAAAAACAUAAGGGGUAACAAUGUUGUUGUUUAUUGGUUGUCAUGAAAAAAAACCCAAGGGCGUAAAAAAACACACACUGUUGUUUUUUAUUGGUAGUCAUGAAAAAAAACACGAGGGGUAACACUGUUGUUUUUUAUUGGUCGUCAUGAAAAAAAACACAAGGGGUAACACUGUUGUUUUUAAUUGGUCGUCAUGAAAAAACACAUAAGGGGUAACACUGUUGUUUUUUUCAAAUAAAAUAUAAGGG